GCGUGAGGAGCUUCAGUGGGUGUGAGGAGCUGCAGUGGGUGUGAGGAGCUUCAGUGGGCGUGAGGAGCUUCAGUGGGUGUGAGGAGCUGCAGUGGGUGUGAGGAGCUGCAGUGGGUGUGAGGAGCUGCAGUGGGUGUGAGAAGCUUCAGUGGGCGUGAGGAGCUUCAUUGGGUGUGAGGAGCUGCAGUGGGCGUGAGGAGCUUCAUUGGGUGUGAGGAGCUUCAGUGGGUGUGGAUGUCACUGCCCUGGGAAACCUUGUCCUAUAAUAAAUAGCCCUCAGCUGCACUUAAUACACAAUCUGCUUGUGACACCCAUAAGGACUCACAUCUCCGCUGAGCGCUGCUGUAACUGACCUAUCAUGAGAGCUGUGGUAGUUCUGGUGCUUGCUUUCUAUAUUUUGGCAGUUAUAGCCUCCACAGAAGGUGGCGCUUUCUGGCAUAUAUAGGGACCUAACAAAAGAUUACGGACGCAGGCUGAAGGUGACUAACAGAGUACAUCUUCCAAUUUCCUCUAAGAUCACUUUUAUGUUUUGGUUUAGAUCCACUAUCUAGAAAAUUGUUUGCAUUAUCAAGUGUUAUUAAAUGUUUUGGGUCUCACCA